GAAGAAUUAGUUGGAACUCGAGCGCGGGCGGCAGCGGAGGAGGAGAUAAGAGGAAGGCAGAGUGGCAGGAGGCGGAGACGGAUCCCGACAGGGGCGGCACCACCGCACGAACCCCGCACGGUCCAGUGUGAGGGGAACGGCGAGGAGGAGACGCCUCCGCUGCCACCGCAACAGACUGACUCCAGGCUUUCAGGCCCCCACGCUGGGCCUUGCUGUCAGCAAGCUUCAGCUCCGCAACUCAGUUUGCUGCGGCCUCAGAUUUCUUUACCUCCAGAAAGAAAAAAAUUGACCCCUAGCAUCCUGGAAGAUUAUUUAAGAAUCUGAAAUUAAGGACUUAUUUCAAAUUUCGACAUGGCUAAUCGAGGUGCAACAAGACCCAAUGGACCGAAUACUGGAAAUAAAAUAUGCCAGUACUUCUCGGAGAGUCUGCUGUUGGUAAAUCAUGCCUAGUGCUUCGUUUUGUGAAAGGCCAAUUUCAUGAAUUUCAAGAAAGUACCCUUGGGGCUGCUUUUCUAACCCAAGCUGUGUGUCUUGAUGAUACUACAGUAAAAUUUGAAAUAUGGGAUACAGCUGGUCAAGAACGAUACCAUAGCCUAGCACCAAUGUACUACAGAGGAGCACAAGCAGCCAUAGUUGUAUAUGAUAUCACAAACGAGGAGUCCUUUGCAAGAGCAAAAAAUUGGGUUAAAGAGCUUCAGAGACAAGCAAGUCCUAACAUUGUAAUAGCUUUAUCAGGAAACAAGGCUGACCUAGCAAAUAAAAGAGCUGUAGAUUUCCAGGAAGCACAAUCCUAUGCAGAUGAUAACAGUUUGUUAUUCAUGGAGACAUCUGCCAAAACAUCAAUGAAUGUGAACGAAAUAGUCAUGGCAAUAGCUAAAAAGUUGCCAAAGAAUGAACCACAGAAUCCAGAAGCGAAUUCUGCCAGAGGAAGAGUAGAUCUUACUGAACCCACACAACCAACCAGGAGUCAGUGUUGUAGUAACUACAUCUCCAGUUUGAACUAGCUGGGAUUUUCUUCUGCUUUCUGAAUGUUAAUAACAGUGGAAUUGGAGCAUUUAACAAGCCCAGUAUGACUUCCAA